GAUGAACGCUGGCGGCGUGCCUAAUACAUGCAAGUCGAGCGAACAGAUGAGAAGCUUGCUUCUCUGAUGUUAGCGGCGGACGGGUGAGUAACACGUGGGUAACCUACCUAUAAGACUGGGAUAACUCCGGGAAACCGGGGCUAAUACCGGAUAAUAUUUUGAACCGCAUGGUUCAAUAGUGAAAGACGGUUUCGGCUGUCACUUAUAGAUGCACCCGCGCCGUAUUAGCUAAUUGGUAAGGUAACGGCUUACCAAGGAGACGAUGCGUAGCCGACCUGAGAGGGUGAUCGGCCACACUGGAACUGAGACACGGUCCAGACUCCUACGGGAGGAAGCAGUAGGGAAUCUUCCGCAAUGGGCGAAAGCCUGACGGAGCAACGCCGCGUGAGUGAUGAAGGUCUUCGGAUCGUAAAACUCUGUUGUUAGGGAAGAACAAAUUUGUUAGUAACUGAACAAGUCUUGACGGUACCUAACCAGAAAGCCACGGCUAACUACGUGCCAGCCGCCGCCGUAA
rnacentral:rRNA from 1 species